UCCGGUUUGUCACCGGCAGUCUCAUUAGAGUGCUCAACUGAAUGUAGCAACUAAUGACAAGGGUUGCGCUCGUUGCGGGACUUAACCCAACAUCUCACGACACGAGCUGACGACAGCCAUGCAGCACCUGUGUUCAGGUUCCCUUUCGGGCACCCCUGCAUUUCUGCAGGGUUCCUGACAUGUCAAGGGUAGGUAAGGUGGGGAUGACGUGGGUCAGUCAA
rnacentral:misc_RNA from 1 species